UUACUUCUUCCUGGGCGGGGUCAAUCGGUGAUCAGGAAGGUCGAUGGCCCAGGAAGGCCAUCUCCAUUUCACUUGGGAGUGGUCUACCUAGCAUCUACCAUCGAGGAGAGUGCACGUCAUAAUUCGUGGCGGCGGAGGCUCGCGUUCGCGCGGCCUCCAU
rfam:Picea glauca, whole genome shotgun sequence.